rnacentral:rRNA from 1 species
CAGCCGCCGCGGUAAUACGAGGGGGGCAAGCGUUGUUCGGAAUUAUUGGGCGUAAAGGGUGCGUAGGCGGUUUGGCAAGUCUUAUGUGAAAUCUUUGGGCUCAACCCAGAGUCUGCAUGAGAAACUGCCGGGCUUGAGUAUGGGAGAGGUGAGUGGAAUUUCCGGUGUAGCGGUGAAAUGCGUAGAUAUCGGAAGGAACACCUGUGGCGAAAGCGGCUCACUGGACCAUAACUGACGCUGAUGCACGAAAGCUAGGGGAGCAAACAGGAUUAGAUACCCGCGUAGUCCCUGUCUCUUAUAC